rnacentral:rRNA from 1 species
UUAAAUUGAAGAGUUUGAUCAUGGCUCAGAUUGAACGCUGGCGGCAGGCCUAACACAUGCAAGUCGAACGGUAACAGGAAGCAGCUUGCUGUUUCGCUGACGAGUGGCGGACGGGUGAGUAAUGUCUG